rnacentral:tRNA from 1 species
UCUGUGGUGGUCCAGUGGUUAAGACUUCACACUUGCAAUGCAGGGGACCCAGGUUCGAUACCUGGUCAGGGAA